AGAAAUUAGGACCAACUUCUUCACACUCUAUGCGCUGACUAGUAGAGAAAUAGGCUGACUCUUAUCUUUAGCUGUGAAUGAAACUCAACCACCUUGUCCCUUCACUUGUGCGCCCAGCUUUGAGGAAGACCCAAACCAGUUUGCUGCCAUUCUUGAUACAGAAACCGAUUGAAGCCUCACUCUCCUCCCAAACGUUGAAAGGCUGACUAAAGGUGGAGCGUCUGCUACUCCAUUCUCAUUGACAAAAAAAAAAUCAGCCCAAGUUCCCUCCUCAAAGUCGUGAACCACCAAGGGGGGAUGAUCAGGAAAGUUGAAUGUCCUCUCUUUUCUUGCUUUCUCAAAACCGUGGGUUGUAGGAUGAGAGAAUCACCGCCUAAGCUCCCUCUCUUUAUUUUCUUCAUUGACUCAACUUAGUGCAGCAACGGUAGAGGUAGUGCAUCUCUUCUUCUUCCAUGUGUGACCGCAGACAUACACCCUUAAAGAUUCUGAUUUGAGAUCAUUACCUAUUCCUCUUUCCCUUGUGCGCACGUUCAACCGAGUAGGAGAAGUCUAAAUCCGCCACUAUGAAGAGUAGAGAGGUGGAAGAAAUCGCAUACCAAUUGGCCACCGCCUCCCUUGGACGAUUUGAACCUUGGGCACCUUCAAGUAGAUGUGCACGUAAUUCUUAUUGAGUGGGCUGAAUUUUGGUGCUGUUGAUUUUGCGUGGAUAUGAGGGGGACGAAAGAGCAUUUGAGGACGUGGUUAAAUGGAUAAUUGCUGUUAAUUGCUGCUGUUUGGGCUUUUCUGCUGUUGACUGUUUGUCUGUUGGAUGACUGUAUUAUUGUAAUAUUUUGGGAAGUUUGGAUUACUGUUGGAAGCAUUAUUUAGCUACUAUUUUCAGGUUUUUAUGGCCGGUUUGAAAUUUGGGAAAUCUGGAAACGUUUUGCGAAAAUAAUUUCUGAA